CAUCUAAAGCAAAGUUAUACUUAUUACUUGUAAGUUCAAGCAACAUUUUUAUGUAUCAAUUUUUAUAUUUAUUUUAAUUUUUAGAAUUAACUCUUUAAAGAUAUUCUAUGAAUAUUAUUAAUACUUUUUAAAAUGAUAACAAUUAAAUAAUUGCUAAAAUUAUAGGAAUAUUUAUUUUAAUUGGCUUCAAUUUAAAUGUCAUCUUAAUUGAUUGCGAAUAUAUAAAAAACAUCGAUACUUUGACAAUAAUCUGAUAUGAUAUCUCGUUAAUGCGAAAACAAAUAACAAGAGGUCAAUUAAGAAUUGAGGUUAAUAAAGAAUGAAACCUUCAUCCUUAUAGGAAAAAAAAAAAAAAAAAAAAAGAAAACAAUUGGAUGAAAACGAGGUCCAACUAAUAAUACCGAUCAAUCGUCGGAUAUCUUUUGAAGGUAAUAUUCGAUCGGCAUUUUCACGAAGCAGUCUCGUUCGAAGGAAAAAUGUAGCCAGCGUCAAGCUGUCGGGCCAAUUAACUCGCGAUUAAUUUGUCCACGUUAACGAACUGUAAGGCGCAGAGAUGAUUCAUUGCCGGGUUACACGGUUCUUCGAUGCGAAAAAAGAAGUCAAUCUCGAGUAAGUGGAAGAAAAGGAAAUAGAGGAACGCUUAAAGAAAGACAAUUCAACCGUAUAAAUUAGAAUCCUGUUAACAACAUCGAAAUUAACAAUCUCUUAUCUAGUAUUCAAGAAAAAGUUGAAAAGUUAUUAUCAAACUUGGGAAAAUUGAAAUUUUACUUGGAACUAUAACAUGUGUAACUCGUAGUGUAACCGUCGCAGAACAAUUACUUUCCAAAAAAUUACAAUAUAAAUAAAAGAUACAUAUCUUCGAAAAAAAAAAAAAAAUUCAAAAUCAAAUCUCGCGUUUAAAAUUUUCAAAACUAAUUUUUCUUAACUCUUUCAGAUAUAAGGCGUAUCAUAAGUUUCCUCGUAUCUGUUUCAUUUACACGUAUACGUAUCAGACAUUAUCGAACAUGUCGAUUAUAACGCGGAUAGAUUUCGCUUCGAACGAGAAUAUUUCUCUGUUUCAUCGGAGUGAGGGAGAAGAGGCGAAAAGGGGAUCCGGAGUAUAUAUAUUCUUACCGAGACUUUACUGUUGGAGGCGGGGCUGUGGAGAGAACUGGACAAGGGUGCCAUUGGCAAGUAAAUCCCGGCGGCGCUGGAAUCGUUGGGCAAACAACGCCGGUCCCGCGGGCUCGGUCCACCGACGCUCGAGGACGAGGAAACGCUCAAUUGGUCCGACUCCCUGCCACCCCCGUAUCCCGUGGGUAAUGUCAAGGACAGAUCCUCCGACACGAAGCUACCCUCCAUUGUUCCACGAGGUACCGGUGGCGUUUGGUACAAUCCGCUGUCGGAACCCCUGCGCAACCAAACUUGAAGUCUCAGAGGGACUAAUUCACAACUUGGAAUUGCUAAUAGAUAAAUCUCUUUUUUUCAUUUUCUCUUUACUUAUUUAUUUCUUGUUCUGAUUUGUUUGUUUGUUUGUGUAGUAAAGCUAAACAUGGUGCAGUAGCGCUUUGGACGAUUAACACUGUAACAAAUUUAAGGAUUGUUGAAUAUUUCAAAGAUGAAAGUGUAUUUUUGUUUCAACACUUGGUGAUGGAAGAGAACUCGUGUGGAUAUGAUUGAAAAGUGUUGUUUGAAAUGUGUUACCUUAAAGAAAUCGUCUCUUUCAAAGACGACUCGUUCAUCGAUAUUCAACCCAAACAACAGAUAUACACGAAUACCCCUGCGUCUCUCCCUCGACAAUACGUAAGUUCGAGCGGAUGAACGGCGACUUUUUAAUGAAGCCACGUAGACGAGGUCGUAGGAGAGGCGCAAGCGGAGAAACAGAAGGAGAAAAGCAGCCGAGGAGUGGAAACAAGCGAAGCCAGAGGUGAAUGAGGAACCGGCGAACCGCGAGUGGAGGCCGUGCCCAUAGGACGAGGGAGAGAGCAAUGCUUGGAUCGCGCAAUAACGAAAUUUUACAUGGCGGGAAGAAGAGAGAAAAAAAAGGGAACGUACAUGGAAAGCAACGGCGAUAGUCACGAGGCAGUGUUAAAGGGAGGAAAGGGGCGACACGAUACUCACAAAGACAUAACGGAAGUGCCGGAAACACGGCGAUCAUCGUCCCGAGGCUUGUGAUAGAACUGCCAUUGAGUGGGCGAUGUCCCUUCCGCCGGGGAGAGAUCAUCCCCUGGGCGAACGUUCUCGUAAGGGCUGCCCAAUGAAUCGUUCCCUUGGACCGGAAUCGGUGGCAAGUUCUCGCUGUCGGCAUCGCUCUCCACGCCAGAGGAAGAUCUGUGCCCUGCAUAUUUCAUCCGUCGAUUAUUCAUUUUACCGUUAAGUUGCAAUUUGAACCGUUCAUUCUUCUUAUUUAAGUUAUUCGAGUGCGAAGAUGAUGAUCGAAUGGUUAGGAAGAAUGAUGGAUCAUCAUUGGAUGGAAGAUGAUCCAUUAAUGGCGCAAUUAACAGAGAGACAACAUCAUAGGAAGAAUUUCGUUUCCUCCUAAUUUAUAAUUUUUCGCGUGAAAAUUUGAUUCGUUAUAAUUGAAAGAAUCAUUGGAAAUCAAUCAACGAGCAAUACGCUAAAUUCAAAGUAUCAUCGCGAAAACAAUUGCGAUUAUACAAUUAUAUUUCUAAAUCAAAUCCAAAGACUUGGUGAUACGAUAAUUCUAACAAGUUCUAAUAACAAACGGGCGAACAUCAAUUUACGACCAAUACGAAAGCGUUCCUCGGCGUUAACAAGGUUCAACAUGCCAUCGUGCGAAAUCUUAUCGCUCGAUGCUCGCUCAUGCAAACCGUUCCGACAAAUUUUUCGAGGGGACGUUAGCCGGUAUCGGGGCAAUCGGCUCGGUUAUACACUUAUGACAGCUCGCCGAGAGACACGUCGUUUUUCUCCACCAGAUAUACGUCUCGUUAAUUGCACAGCUCGUUUGCUCGGGACGUGCAUGAGGCGAGAAAGAGAGAGAGAGAGAGACGAGGUCGGAUACGCACUUUUUAUCACGGCGGUGAUGUCCUGAGUGACGUGCGGCGGGAACUGUCCCAGAAGAUCGAGCACCGUGUUCUGUCGCGAGUCCCGGAUGCCCAGGUCGACCCCUCUGUCCAGGAGUGCCCGCACCACUUCCAUCUUGCCGCAGAGUGCCGCCUCGUGCAUCGCGGUUCCCGCGGACGUCCUCGUGUUCACGUCGACGCCCGCCGCCAGCAACACCUCCACCACAGCUCUGAAACCGACAGAUGGACGAGAAAACGUGAAACUGUUUUUGGACGAAACAGGUGAAAAAUAUAUAUAUACGGUUGACGUUUGUAAGUAAUGAGAGCGAGUGAAAUUUUUUACGACACGUUUUUUCUCGUUUCUUGUCUGUAUGGUAAAUUUUACCAACUUCAAGUUAAAAUAUCUUCUCUAGAUUAAUGGUUUUUCGAUAUAAGUAGAUUGAUACUUUUUUUUAUUUAUUAGAGAAUAUCAAAUUGGUAUAUCAAGCAAUUGGUAAAUAAUGUAUGAUCUCAUUUAAAGAAUGAUUUUUCAUAUGUAUUCUAAGAAAAAACUAGAUCAUCAUCAGAAUCGUGUGAAACAUUUCUUGCUAUGGAUAAUAAUGGCGGAAAUCAAGGUAAAUUUUUUAAAACGUAACGUGUAAGUUAAUUAUAUACGAUACCGCAUGUCCUUCAUAAUUUGAACGUUGAUUAAUUUCCGCGAAAUUUUAUUACAUUCAACGAAUACGAUUAUUGUGCGUAUCAACGAUACACUUUCAUUUUUACGUAGAUUUCAUUCGAUUUGAACUACCUUGAACAUUCUAAAUUUUAUCCUCUGAUGCGUCAACUUUCUCAUUCCCGCUCGAUCCACAUAAAAAUUUAAUCAAUACGAGUACGAAUCAACCAACAAUCUUGUCUCAACAACCCUCCCCUCCCCCCAGAAAUUUCAUCCAAUAUCUGGUGCCCGACAUAAUACAACACACGCGUUGUUUCCAUAAACAUAGUUCCAUAGCAAUACUUAGUAAUCUUAAAUUAACAAAUCAAAAUUAGAAGUAGAAGGCGUGCAACAACGGUUCCCCGAAAGCCAUCGAUGACGACCAUCGAUGGUUUCCUACGAGACCUCCCCCCACCCGUGGGUCCGCGGAUCACCGACGUCAGCUGAAAGUGGCCCGCUUGCACGCAUUUCCCAUUUCGAUACCACCACCACCACCACCGCCGCCGCCACCGUGUAUCACGAAACCCAGAUUUCGUUUUGUAUCCGUCGGUCGGGUGUGCACCGACUGCAGUGACCGCAGCCAUCCGUCGCAUAUAGGAUUCGUGGCUGGGAAUCGGAUUCACGUGCACCUAUGUUGUUAUUACCGUGCCAUAGGGGUAUUUGUAUACUGGCUUACCAAGAGCACCGAUAUUGAAUCCGAUAAUAGACAUUACUUCUGCCCCGUUCCCGAUCCCUUCUCGAACCCUACGCCCCCCUCCCCCUCCCCACUCUGUCGCGCCUUCCCUUUGUCCCGCUCCCGCCCACGUAACGCCGCCCACGGAACCGCCAGAUCCGCCAAAUAUCGCGGCGGGGCGCGUGAAACGCGUGCGUGAACGCAAUCAUCACCGGUGUGUGUGCAUUGGUAUACUACACAACCGAAUCCCGACGUUACGUUUCGAUACUCGGGUGUGCACGGUGUGCAGGGAAGGCCGGGGAGCUUCGAUGCACGACACCGAAAACGAGCGUACACAGCGAUCGUGCACAGAGCGCGCCAACAGAGGGCUCUGGCUGCUUCCUACCGUGGAUUCGCGCCUGUCCAAACAGUCAAAAUGCCUGUACACACCUAACGACACGCCCAGCCACCAAAUCACACGCCGGACAAAAGAUCCAAUACCAUUUCCCAACUCGCAUUGUUCGACCACCGCACGGCAAACGGUACGAAGACACUGCAAAUCCCUUCAAAAGGGAGGAGCGCGUCAAUGUUGGUGAACAGUUAUCGAAGCGUCAGAACACCUUGGUGCAUAAAGGGGGCAUUAAACAUCCUGCGAGCAAUCACGAUCCAGCAAACCGAUCUAGGUCGAUACGUUUCGAAGGUAACGAUUAAUACGAUCCUCUGGUAAUCGAAGGGCGGCUAUGGAACACGCAUGGACGGUCAGAGAGGGAUGUCUGUUGGCCUCCGCGGAUCCAUUCGAUCGGAGAUUCGGCCGGACGAGGAGGAGAGACCCGGGCUCGAUCGGUAAUAUGGGACGUGCGUUACCGAGAGAGGGUUGCGACGGAUCAUGCCAGGACGUAAUACAUACAUACAUAUCGUAUUCGACGGGAUUACGCAACGUGGUGCUCUCUGAUUGGCUAAUGGGCAACGCUGCAAAUGGUUCGACAUCGUUAUGCUUAGGCGAAACGACUCUAUUGUUGUGCCGGGAUACAAUGAGUCGAGUACUAUAUUACUCGAUAAUUAGCGCGAACAGUUCUUCUUUCGGAAGAAAGAAAGGAAAAAAAAGUGUUGCUGAAAAUGGUGGAAGAAGAUGUGGAAUUAAAAAGUGGAAAUUUUGAGAAAUCGAGGAAAGGAUUUGAGAAAGUUGGAAUUUGUACGUGUUGAUGUUUGUAGAUAAUCGUGGGAUAUGGAGGAUCGAUUUAAAUGUUAUGAAUGCAAAAAUUUCGAGUGGAGGAUAAUGAUAAUCGAUGAUAAUUAUUUUUGUGUUUUUUUUUUUAUUAUGUUUGAUCUAUUAUUUCAGUUGAAUGUUUGGCAAGAUUUGGUUUUGUAACGAUAAUUUUGUACAAAUUAUGGAUUUUAAUUUCAUAUGGAACUUUACAACAACAAGAUAGAGAGAAAUGUUCUGUCUACGUUCAGUAGUUUGGAUCAAUAUUUAAUGAUCUGUUAAAUAUUUGAUGAUUGUUUUAGAUAAAUUAAUAAUAUAAUCGAAACGAUGACACAAUCGCAAUUAUCCGUGUUCCAAUUUCAGAUAUAUGUACCGAUUUCAUCAGAAUUGAUUUAUUCAUCAGAGAUUUAUUCACGGGCCACAUUAAUAAGAUUAAUUUCAGACACCUA